UUAUAUAAAGUCAUGGUAAGC
rnacentral:piRNA from 1 species